GAGUUGCUGAACAAAACCAGGCAAGGAAUACUUAAAUUAGCGAAAUCUUUUACUCAUUCAAAUAACUCUUCAACUGUCAUCGCAGCAGUUAAAGCAUUCAAAUCUCAUAGUCUUUGAAGGCAACUUAGUAGUGUAUCACGCUAUAAAGUAAUUACAGCUUAGUAAAUACGAGAUUCUUUGGAAUACAAAGGCGUGGGUUGUCGACUUUUGCAAGUAGCGGUAGUAUCAUAUGAAUCGCAAUAGCAACAAAACCUAGAACAAGCAAGCGGAAGAAAUGUCAAAAACUGUGUUAGCAAUGGAAAGACGGUUUUGAACAAGGCUAGCGAAUGGUCAAAAAAUGUCCUUCAUGAGACCAAAAUAAAAUUUCUUUUGUACCCAAGUAAGAACGACAAAAUUAGUACCAAUUUGAGACUUUGUAAAUAUUGAACAUGCGCACUUGCAAAUCCUUCCCACGCUCAGUGGCUGUCUUUUUCCAUUUUGAAAGAAUUAAUGUCGAUCUUAUCAAGAGCAGUCAAUUCAUCUCGUUAAGCAACCGAUUAUGGUAUGGCCAGGCUUAGACAAUUGGGCCGUUGCUUCUGUUGCAAUGUUCAACCCGAUAUUGCUGAUUGUGAUAAUAAAUGCAACAUUAAAAGUUGCCUACGGUAAUAAGCUGCUUAUAUUUCGCCCCUUAUUAAUUGACUCCUAUGUUUUCCCUCUUUUUUCUUUUCUCUUUCUUACGUCCAUAUUACAUUGAUUAAAACUUUGGCACCGUAUCUGACAAUAAAAGUGCAUCGUUAAUAGAUUACUAACUAUGAUAGAGCUUUUUAGCAUCUUAUUAAGCCAUUGGUUUACUUUUUGCUUAGUGCCUCUUUACUUUAGUGGCUUUCUGUUUACUGACUGCGUAUAUAGCCAUAAAGUUCAUUUAUUAGUUUUUAGAUAAAUAAAAAAAUCAAACUUAUACCAGUGUA